rnacentral:misc_RNA from 1 species
CUUCUUGAGGCCGUCGAAAAAGGACAGCAUGCGCGGCAACCCCUGCUGGUGGUCGAUGUACUGGAUGGUCGGGUGGCCGCCCGGAGGGUCCGCCGGUACGUCAUUCUGGAGAGGGACGGAGAUAUCGAUCAGCUUGCGGGUCAUGUGUCUGGCUCCGGCGGCCUUGCCGGAGGUCCCGGCAGGCUUUUGGCCGAGUGUGCAUGAAUUUGCGCACACCGCUCA